rnacentral:rRNA from 1 species
GACGAACGCUGGCGGCGUGCUUAACACAUGCAAGUCGAACGUGAUUUUUAUGAACAUUCUUUCCGGACUUGAGAUGCAAUGAAAUUGGCGAACCGGUGAGUAACUCGUUAUCAACCUACCUUACACAGGGGGAUACCCGUUUGAAACGACGAUUAAUACCGCAUGAGACCACAGAAUCGCAUAAUAUAGGUUUCCAAGAUUUAUGGGGUUAAUUAGUGCGCGAGUGGGAUUCGCUAAUUGGAAGGGUAAAGGCCUACCAAGGCGACGAUCAGUAGCCGGUAAGAGAGGAUGAACCGAGACAUCGGAACUGAGAAACGGUCCAAAAUCUUACGGGAGGCAGCAGUGGGGAACAUUGCAAAAUGGGGGGAACACUGAUGCAGCGCGGACGGGUGAGCGAAGAAGGUUGUCGAAAAGUAAAGUUCUGUUAUAUGAGAAGAUAAUGACGGUACCAAAGGAGAAAGCCCCGGCUAACUACGUG